rnacentral:rRNA from 1 species
CACGUAGGGACCAAGCGUUGUCCGGAUUCAUUGGGCGUAAAGAGCUCGUAGGCGGUUCGGUAAGUCGGGUGUGAAACCUCCAGGCUCAACCUGGAGACGCCACCCGAUACCGCCGUGACUAGAGUCCAGUAGGGGAGCGUGGAAUUCCUGGUGUAGCGGUGAAAUGCGCAGAUAUCAGGAGGAACACCAGCGGCGAAGGCGGCGCUCUGGGCUGGAACUGACGCUGAGGAGCGAAAGCGUGGGGAGCGAACAGG